GAUGAACGCUGGCGGCGUGCUUAACACAUGCAAGUCGAACGAACUGAGGAGAGCUUGCUCUCCAAAGUUAGUGGCGGACGGGUGAGUAACGCGUGGGUAACCUGCCCUAUGCAGGGGGAUAACGUUUGGAAACGAACGCUAAUACCGCAUAAACUAUGGGUAAUCGCAUGAUUACUAUAGUAAAGAUUUAUCGGCAUAGGAUGGACCCGCGUUGGAUUAGCUAGUUGGUGAGAUAACAGCCCACCAAGGCGACGAUCCAUAGCCGGCCUGAGAGGGUGAACGGCCACAUUGGGACUGAGACACGGCCCAAACUCCUACGGGAGGCAGCAGUGGGGAAUAUUGCACAAUGGGCGCAAGCCUGAUGCAGCGACGCCGCGUGAAGGAUGAAGGUCUUCGGAUUGUAAACUUCUAUCAGCAGGGAAGAAUAAAUGACGGUACCUGACUAAGAAGCCCCGGCUAACUACGUGCCAGCCGCCGCAGUAAAAC
rnacentral:rRNA from 1 species